rnacentral:rRNA from 1 species
GACGAACGCUGGCGGCGUGCUUAACACAUGCAAGUCAAGGGGGCCCAGCAAUGGGCAACCGGCGAACGGGUGCGUAACACGUGAGCAACCUACCGAAAUGUGGGGGAUAGCCGGCCUAACGGCCGAGUAAUACCGCAUACGCUUUCAGAGAGGCAUUUCUUUGGAAGGAAACCUACGGGACAUUUCGAGGGGCUCGCGGCCUAUCAGCUAGUUGGCGAGGUAACGGCUCACCAAGGCAACGACGGGUAGCUGGUCUGAGAGGAUGGCCAGCCACAUUGGGACUGAGAUACGGCCCAGACUCCUACGGGAGGCAGCAGUGGGGAAUCUUGCGCAAUGGCCUAACGGCUGACGCAGCGACGCCGCGUGUGGGAUGAAGCUCUUCGGAGUGUAAACCACUGUUGCCCGGGACGAAUAGCUCGAUUAAUCGAGCCUGACGGU